AAAUCAUUAGGAGUAGCUACUUGAAACAAAUGCUUAAUUGGACCGCGUUAAACAGAAAGGAACCAAGCCACAUUAGCUAUUGCCAAAAUUGGCUAAUUUAAUUUUUUACAUGGAAACGGUUGUGCGGAUUUCAGUGAAUUUUCUCUAUAGUACGAAGCAAAUUCCCUAACAUUUUCAAAGGGAUCCCCACAAACGAUUUCUCGUAAAAAAUUAAAUUGCCCAGUUAAAAUUGGCAAUAGCUGAUGUGGCUUGGUUCCUCUCUGUUCAACGCGGUCCAAUUAAUGAUCGAACCCUCGCGUCAAAUCAUUGAUAGACGAAGGACACGAAAUCUAGCGUUAUCGAAAUUAUGAAUCACACGUGGAGUGCGCAGAGCAAGAAAGGUAAAAUUAUGUGCUGUGAGCAUAAUCUACGAAAAUUUCACAGUUGAUUGGUCUCAAAUUUCAGACCAUGUUUCAGUAAUUUCGAAAUGCACUUAACUACAUUUGUUAUUAAUAUUGUUGUAAGUGUUAUUGGAGGUGGCCUGAUUCAAGGAAUUCAAAUAUUUCAAAACCACAUUUGCUUUCAACCGGGAAUUCACACAGCAAGAACAGUGACUCAACAAGUAAAAAAAGCAGCUUCGAUUCUUGUCAGCAAGUUCCAGAAAAUCUGUCCAAUUAUAAUUACGUUGUACUAACGGCCCCGCCAGCAACGGAGGACACGUUCGAAGACUUAGAGCCGCUGAAUGUUUCCUUCAUCUUGCAGCCCGUGACAGGGUUGACAGUUCAUCAAUUCCAAGAGGUCCUCAGUGAUUGCUUGCUCUCUAUUCGAACUUUGGGUGAUGACCCGACGGACCCAGAGUAUUUCGAUACAUACAUCCACGGCGUGUUAUUCAACCUUUUAAGAUGGGUGCUCGCGGCUAUUUCAUGCUGA
rnacentral:lncRNA from 1 species